UCCACUCUGGUGCAGUGGUUACACUUGCUGCGUCCUCGAAUUGACGGGUGCAGUAUGUCGGAGGUUCAAUUCCUUCGGGUGGCA